UACGGGGGGGGGCAAGCGUUGUUCGGAAUUACUGGGCGUAAAGGGCGCGUAGGCGGCCCUCUAAGUCAGACGUGAAAUCCCUCGGCUCACUCCGGGAACUGCGUCCGAUACUGGCAGGCUUGAAUCCGGGAGAGGGAUGUGGAAUUCCAGGUGUAGCGGUGAAAUGCGUAGAUAUCUGGAGGAACACCGGUGGCGAAGGCGGCAUCCUGGACCGGUAUUGACGCUGAGGCGCGAAAGCCAGGGGAGCAAAGCGGG
rnacentral:rRNA from 1 species